CUGGAAUGCAGUGGCACGGUCAUAGCUCACUAUAAUCUCAAACUCCUGGGCUCAAGCAACCUUCUCGCCUCAGCCUCCUGAGCAGCUGGGACUACAGGUGCCAUGGUACAGAGCUCCUGUAGGAUAAAGACCCCUUGCCUGAGAAGCUCCUGCCUGAGCAUCCUGCUUAAGAUUGCUAUGUUCCAAGUGGAAAAGCUGGGAGCAGAAUCAGCUAGAAAAUUGUUCAGACUCAGCUUGUCUGGUGUUGGUCGAGUGGUGUCAUUUGGGCACACCCAAAUAAAUGGAGUCAUUCACUGAGGAGGCUGAAAAAUGCCAUCAUCACUUGGACAGUCUUUUGAGAAAGUCUGGACUACAUCUUAGGCUCCACUAGCAGAUGAGCAGAUGAGCAGACAAACAGAAGAGCGGAGGAGCAGAAGAGUGGCACAGCAGAGGAGAGAAGAGAAGGAACGUCUGAACGUUGAAAGGAAGUCAGCUGGGGAUGGUCAGAGAGAUCGACCGUGGGACAGCCAAACUCCAGGGGAAAAUCAUCUUCCCACUCCAUCCUCUUUCCAGCUCCCCAGCCACCCUGCUGAGAGCCACCUCCAUCACCCAGUAAAAUCCCCACAUUCACCUUCCUUCAAGUCCAUGUGUGACCUGUUUAUUCCUGGAUGCUGGACAAGAACCCAGGUACCAAGAGGGCACUGAGCUGAUUAACACUUAAGCUGUCUGCGAAUGGUAGAGCUAAAAGAGCACUGUAUUAUGCCCACUGGGCAUGAGAAUUGAAGACACUCACCCCUAGAUGCUACUGUGGGGCCAGAGCCCAAAAGCAUUUGCCCCAGUUCCUGCACCUGUCCAUCUGUGUGCUCCCCCUCCCAUAAGGGGUUUGAGUGCGCAUGGUGGCCGAACAGACA